ensembl:snRNA U1 U1 spliceosomal RNA
AUACUUACCUGGCAGGGGAGAUACCAUGAUCACAAAGGUGGUUUUCCCAGGGUGAGGCUUAUCCAUUGCACUCCAGAUGUGCUGACCCCUGCAAUUUCCCCAAAUAUGGGAAAAAGAAAAAAAAAUAGAC